rnacentral:lncRNA from 1 species
CAGUCAUUAAAAAUCAGAUUAAUGUAACUAUUUGAAAGAUAAUUGAUUUGUGUAGUUUUUAAAAGUUGGCAUGUAGCAGUGACUUGACAAACAUUUUCAAAAAGAAUGAACAUUUUGAAAUCAUGCAUUUUAUCCCACUUCUUGCAACAUCUAGACUUCAAUAAACUUUGGCUUUUGCUACUCUAAACUUUAUUUUGUAGCAAUUUCAUGUACUGUCGCCUGCAUUUUGUCAUCUUGACUUCCCUAACUUGUAACUAGUUAUUUUUAAUUUAGAUAUGAAAAUGUCUUUUCUACGUCGAUGCGGAUGGGCAAUAAAGGUGCGAUCAUACAUUUCACAGCGCCAGAGCUUAAGGCAGAUAUUGUUUCCUUUUCAGCAGUGGUAGGUUUUAACUAUAUUCAGGAGGCUGUUUCUAUUAUUCCUAGUAAUUUCUUAAAUUCUUGUAUCAUCAUCGUGUCAAAAUAUUCAUUGUUCCAUGCCUCCAAAAAUUGAUACUGCGAUCUGUGCAAGUUGCACCAUGGACCAUAUUCUAUAUUUGCAUGCAUGUCCGUCCAUCUCGAAUGACCGAAUUGAUUUCAGUCCCUAUAGUGCAUCCGUGCGAACUUUUUCAACUCUUAUGUUCGUAAUAUAUUAUAUCACUUCAUAUGUGUAUCGCUGAAGAACAUUAUUAUAGAAGGCAGGUAAAGUAGCUGGAGAUACUGACAUUGAUGUUUAUUUAAAAGUUAGCUAUAGGUUCCAUUCUUUCAGUAAAAAAAGAAGAAGCUAGGUUCUUCCAGUUCCAUGACAGGAUGUUUGUUUUUUGCUUAUUGACUUGAUACGAGAGGAUGGAGGUGU